CAACACGGCAGCUGGCUUCAUCAAAGUGAACAAAUGAGAGGGCAAGACCGUAUCAGUAAGAAGUUAUGGGCCUGGCACGGUGGCUCACGCCUGUAAUCCCANNNNNNNNNNNNNNNNNNNNNNNNNNNNNNAUUGCACCACUGCACGCCAGCCUAGGCGACAGAGUGAGACUCUGUCUAAAAAAAAAAAAAAAAAGUUACGGUGCUCUGUGACCUAAUCAUGGAAGUGACAUUGCCUUCCUUUUCUGUAUUCUAUCCAUUAGCAGCGAGUCACUAGGUCACACUCAAGGCAGGGGGAUUACACAGAAUGAGCCCACCACAAAUGCUACAAGCAGAUCUCUUUCCGCCUUGGGUUUUAAUACAGGCUGCCUCAGUUACUGUCAGCGCAUACUGUCAUGUCCAGAGAGCAUCAUCACCCUAAACCCAGAUUCUCCGAAAGGUGAUAUGUUGAAGGGGAGGUAACUAUGGAAUUAAAAAGUGGUGUUUCACUGUGACAUGUGAUCUCUUAAUAUGAAAGAUUUGCUUGCCCCCACACACUUUUGUAUAUGAGUAGAAAAUUUCUGAAAGACUGUAAAAACUGUUGGGAAAAUUAUUUCUAAGAAGCAAGAUUAGGGAUGCAGGAAGGGUUCCUUCUAGGUUUCACUUCAUACUCUUCUAUACUGCUUAAUUUUAUCUUGACAUGUACACCUGUUUUACAGUAAAACAGUUAAAAUUAAUAAGAGGAAUUGUUAAGCACAGGGUGAUUCCUUAAUCCAGAAAGAUUUCUAAAUAACCCAUGCCACAGCUUGGGAUAAAAGGGGGAUCUAGGGGGAUUAUACAUUUUUAUAUUCUGAAAGUUAAGCAUAGAUGACACACAAUGACAAGGAAACACCUAAG
rnacentral:lncRNA from 1 species